rnacentral:tRNA from 1 species
GGUUCUGUAGCUCAGUGGUAGAGCACUACCUUGACAUGGUAGGGGUCGUUGGUUCAAGUCCAAUCAGAGCCACCA